rnacentral:rRNA from 1 species
AUUGAACGCUGGCGGCAGGCCUAACACAUGCAAGUCGAGCGGAUGACGGGAGCUUGCUCCUUGAUUCAGCGGCGGACGGGUGAGUAAUGCCUAGGAAUCUGCCUGAUAGUGGGGGACAACGUUUCGAAAGGAACGCUAAUACCGCAUACGUCCUACGGGAGAAAGCAGGGGACCUUCGGGCCUUGCGCUAUCAGAUGAGCCUAGGUCGGAUUAGCUAGUUGGUGAGGUAAUGGCUCACCAAGGCGACGAUCCGUAACUGGUCUGAGAGGAUGAUCAGUCACAUUGGAAAUGAGACACGGUACAGACUCCUACGGGGGGCAGCAGUGGGGAAGAUUGGAAAAUGGGCGAAAUCCUGAUCCAGCCAUGCCGGGUGUGUGAAGAAAGGCUUAGGAUUGUAAAGCAGUUUAAGUUGGGAGUAAGGGCAGUAAGCUAAUACCUUGCUGUUUUGACGUUACCGACAUAAUAAGCACCGGCUAACUCUGUGCCAGCCGCCGCCGUAACAC